rnacentral:rRNA from 1 species
AUUGAACGCUGGCGGCAUGCCUUACACAUGCAAGUCGAACGGUAACAGGUCUUCGGAUGCUGACGAGUGGCGAACGGGUGAGUAAUACAUCGGAACGUGCCUAGUAGUGGGGGAUAACUACUCGAAAGAGUGGCUAAUACCGAAUGAGAUCUACGGAUGAAAGCAGGGGAUAGCAAGACCUUGUGCUAGUAGAGCGGCCGAUGGCAGAUUAGGUAGUUGGUGGGAUAAAAGCUUACCAAGCCGACGAUCUGUAGCUGGUCUGAGAGGACGAUCAGCCACACUGGGACUGAGACACGGCCCAGACUCCUACGGGAGGCAGCAGUGGGGAAUUUUGGACAAUGGGCGCAAGCCUGAUCCAGCAAUGCCGCGUGCAGGAUGAAGGCCUUCGGGUUGUAAACUGCUUUUGUACGGAACGAAAAGCCCCGGGUUAAUACCCUGGGGUCAUGACGGUACCGUAAGAAUAAGCACCGGCUAACUACGUGCCAGCAGCCGCCGUAA